ensembl:snoRNA U3 Small nucleolar RNA U3
AAGACUAUAUUUUCAGGGAUCAUUUCUACAGUUUGUUACUAGAGACAUUUAUCUGAAUGUGUGGAGCACCAAAGAUCUCGAAUUAAUGAUUUAGCAUCACACCUAGAGGA